GAUGAACGCUGGCGGCGUGCUUAACACAUGCAAGUCGAACGGCAAGGCCCUGCUUUUGUGGCGUGCUCGGGUGGCGAACGGGUGAGUAACACGCGCGUACCCUGCCCUUGACUUAGGGGUAAAUUCCGGAAAGUGGGGCGAAUAAAGGAUAGGAGAUACUGCGGCAUGGCGGGGGUUGGUAAGUUACGGCGGGUGGGGUUGGGUUCGCGGUUGAUCAGCUUGUUGGUGGGGUAGAGGCUUAGGAAGGCGUUGACGGGUAGCAGGCCUGAGAGGGUGACCGGCCACAUUGCGCCUGAGCUACGGCCCGGAGUCCUACGGGAGACAGCGGUGGGGAAUAUUGCACGAUGGGCGGAAGCCGGAUGCAGCAUCGCCGCGUGCGGGAUGGUGGCCUUCUGUUUGUAGACCGGUUUCGCCUGUAACGUAGCGUGAGUGACGGUAAUGGAUAAAUAAGCACCGGCUAACUACGUG
rnacentral:rRNA from 1 species